rnacentral:lncRNA from 1 species
AGAAACAACUGACUGACCCCCUGGGCUGUCCAAAAGCCAAGUUUUAAGCACUAUUGGUACAUGUGAGACACAGGAAGUGACAUAAAGAAUUGCCUUUAUAUUUUGCAUCACUUCCUGUGAGAGGGCUGGGUGGUGAAACUUGACUGUGAAGGAGCUUGAGUGUGAGACCUUAGACUGCUUCCCUUAGAUUGUCAUGUGGGUAUACACAUCCCUAUAUGUCUAUUCUGCAUUGGAUCCAAUAUAAUUUGAAUUAACUUGAUCAAACAAAACUCUUUCUUCUAAAGUCAUUGAAGUCCAGUGUCAAGAAAAAAGCCAGGAUGACUAGAGAUGGCUAAGGAUGCAGUGGAUGAUCUUGGCUUCUUUGAUGUGUAACCAAGUCUUCAUAUGCUUGUAGCAGAACUAGUUCACUGAAGGACUUGAGUAUUGUUGGUUAACCUCAACCUGGUUUAUCCUGUCUUCUGAAAUGUUUUUUUACUGGGAUGUGGCCACUACAAGAUGCUACUGCUUCUUCAACCCACAGAAAACUUAUCUUCAGACAAAAAGGAGGGAAACAAAAGUGGCUAAUGUGGAUAGGAAACCCAAGGGAACUCUAACGCCUUUGCUGAUUGCGGAUCCUAGAAUUCUA